rnacentral:rRNA from 1 species
CGGACGGGUGAGUAACGCGUGGGUAACCUGCCUCAUAGAGGGGGACAACAGUUGGAAACGACUGCUAAUACCGCAUAGUAAGAAAGAUUCGCAUGUUUCUUUCUUGAAAGAUUUAUCGCUAUGAGAUGGACCCGCGUCUGAUUAGCUAGUUGGUAAGGUAACGGCUUACCAAGGCGACGAUCAGUAGCCGGCUUGAGAGAGUGAACGGCCACAUUGGGACUGAGACACGGCCCAAACUCCUACGGGAGGCAGCAUG